rnacentral:rRNA from 1 species
AAAUUGAAGAGUUUGAUCAUGGCUCAGAUUGAACGCUGGCGGCAGGCCUAACACAUGCAAGUCGAACGGUAACAGGAAGCAGCUUGCUGCUUCGCUGACGAGUGGCGGACGGGUGAGUAAUGUCUGGGAAACUGCCUGAUGGAGGGGGAUAACUACUGGAAACGGUGGCUACUGGAAACGGUGGC